rnacentral:lncRNA from 1 species
CAGAUCCAAUCAAGCCCAACUCAGCCCAAAAACAGACCCCCAACCCAACCCAGACCAGGUCUGAUCAGACCAUAACAAAACCCAUUCACUUAAACUCAGACCCAACCCAAGCCAGGUCUGAUCAGACCAGAUUAGACUCAAGUCAGACUAACCCAAAUUUCUGACUCAGAUCCAAACCAUAACCCAAAUCCACUCACUCAAUUCUAGAUCAAACCAAAUACAAGGAUUAGAUGGAACCGGUUCAUAAUCUAAACCGGUUCAUGGUCUGAUCCCCACUUGAGGCACGGAUUUCAAAGCAAG